rnacentral:rRNA from 1 species
AUUGAACGCUGGCGGCAUGAUUUACACAUGCAAGUCGAACGGUAACAGGCCGCAAGGUGCUGACGAGUGGCGAACGGGUGAGUAAUGCAUCGGAACGUGCCCAGUCGUGGGGGAUAACUACUCGAAAGAGUAGCUAAUACCGCAUACGAUCUAUGGAUGAAAGCGGGGGACCGUAAGGCCUCGCGCGAUUGGAGCGGCCGAUGUCAGAUUAGGUAGUUGGUGGGGUAAAGGCUCACCAAGCCAACGAUCUGUAGCUGGUCUGAGAGGACGACCAGCCACACUGGGACUGAGACACGGCCCAGACUCCUACGGGAGGCAGCAGUGGGGAAUUUUGGACAAUGGGCGCAAGCCUGAUCCAGCAAUGCCGCGUGCAGGAAGAAGGCCUUCGGGUUGUAAACUGCUUUUUUACGGAACGAAACGGCUCUGGUUAAUACCCGGGGCUAAUGACGGUACCGUAAGAAUAAGCACCGGCUAACUACGUG